rnacentral:tRNA from 1 species
GCGCCUGUGGCUCAACUGGAUAGAGCAUCUGACUUCGGAUCAGAGGAUUGGGGGUUCGAGUCCCUCCAGGCGUG